GCAGUGGUGGUUCAGUGGUAGAAUUCCCACCUUCCAUGUGGGAGACCCACAUUUGAUUCCCGGCCAAUCCA
rfam:Loxodonta africana unplaced genomic scaffold scaffold_26, whole genome shotgun sequence.